UCCUCGGUAGUACAGUGGUGAGUAUCCCCGCCUGUCACGCGGGAGACCGGGGUUCGAUUCCCCGACGGGGAG
rnacentral:tRNA from 1 species